GAUGAACGCUGGCGGCGUGCCUAAUACAUGCAAGUCGAGCGAACAGACGAGGAGCUUGCUCCUCUGACGUUAGCGGCGGACGGGUGAGUAACACGUGGAUAACCUACCUAUAAGACUGGGAUAACUUCGGGAAACCGGAGCUAAUACCGGAUAAUAUAUUGAACCGCAUGGUUCAAUAGUGAAAGACGGUUUUGCUGUCACUUAUAGAUGGAUCCGCGCCGCAUUAGCUAGUUGGUAAGGUAACGGCUUACCAAGGCAACGAUGCGUAGCCGACCUGAGAGGGUGAUCGGCCACACUGGAACUGAGGAACGGUCCAGACUCCUACGGGAGGCAGCAGUAGGGAAUCUUCCGCAAUGGGCGAAAGACUGACGGAGCAACGCCGCGUGAGUGAUGAAGGUCUUCGGAUCGUAAAACUCUGUUAUUAGGGAAGAACAAAUGUGUAAGUAACUAUGCACGUCUUGACGGUACCUAAUCAGAAAGCCACGGCUAACUACGUG
rnacentral:rRNA from 1 species